CCCAUCCCUGUGGCCCGCCCCCGAAGUUUGACGGACGAAGUGACGUCGUGCAGCAGACGCGUGAAACGCGCCGAAAGUUGAACGUGUGGCGCUAAAUCGCGAAACUAAACGCACAUUCCUUACGAUGCGAUGCAAUUUGAAAAUCGAACUCUAUGAUCCUAGACUUGAUUUGGCUUUAUAAAUUGAAUGCUUGAGUAUUGUAGGUAUUAUAAAAGAAGGUAAAAAAAAAACAAAGACGACGUUUGAUUAAUGAGUGCAUAGAUUUAGUUAGAAAGGGCCCCGCGCGCGAUGAGUGCAAUAAACUUUAUUCGUACCUGACUAAUAUAUUUUAAGCCUGCAAAACAAAGCAGCGAAGUGUAAAAGUAAAAUAUUUUUGAUUAUGUUUUUUGUGCAAUGAAUGAUGCGUGAUUGUGGUUCAGAUAUUUUGAGAAGUAAAUAAAUUAUUGAAAAUAAAAGGCUAUUGGGCGGCAACCGGUUAGGUACAGAUUUAAAUCAGCCAGGUAUUUGGCUUCUCUUUUGCCGGACUCGGCCGGACCAGGGUGAACCGAUCACGGUCGCCAAAACUCAACAAUAGUUUAAAGCUGUGGUAUCGGGCUACGGAUCAGGUGCCUUAAUAAG